UACAGAGGGGGCAAGCGUUAUUCGGAAUUAUUGGGCGUAAAGGGCGCGUAGGCGGCUGUACAAGUCAAAGGUGAAAUCCCUCGGCUCAACUGAGGAACUGCCUUUGAAACUGUACGGCUUGAGGCCGGGAGGGGGUAGCGGAAUUCCCAGUGUAGCGGUGAAAUGCGUAGAUACUGGGAGGAACACCAGUGGCGAAGGCGGCUACCUGGACCAAUACUGACGCUCAUGUGCGAAAGCGUGGGGAGCAAACAGG
rnacentral:rRNA from 1 species